rnacentral:piRNA from 5 species
UCGUACGUAGCAGAGCAGCUCCCUCGC